rnacentral:misc_RNA from 1 species
UUUUUUUUUUUUUUUUAAGGAAAAAAAAACCCAUCCAUUUAUCUUUCGUCACUCGAUAAAAUCUUCAAACUGUCUGACGUCGUUUAAACAAGGAAAAAAAUAUUUAUUGCGCUGUGGCGGCUCAUUCAUUGGUUGGGACGGUGGGCCCGUUAACGCCUUCAUGAAACACCUUAGCAAUCCUCUCGAUUGGGAUCAACGCCGCCAUAUACCCUCUAUCCGCUGCAUAAGAAACCAACUGAUUGUAUUUCUCAGACCAGCGAGCAGCAGUGGGGACUACGACUUGAGCAGCUUGAGGAAAUAGAGGAAGCCGAUUCAGU